rnacentral:lncRNA from 1 species
AAAAACCUCCAAAACAGGACAUUUUGGUGUUUGUCUGAAAAGUUUCUGACAAAAACUCAAAAUUUUCCUUGGAAAGCAUACACUUUACAUGAAAAAAAUCAUUUUAUUGAAAAUCUGAUUUUCUAUCAAAUGGCAGUUUCCAUGGAAGCUUUUCAACCAGUCCUAGAGAUGAGUCAGAAUUAGCAAUCUGAUACCAGCCUGUGUAUACAUUUCUGCAGAGGCUAGCAAUGCUGUAGGACCCUCUUUGGGGCUUCUGGGGAAGUAAUGUUUGGGAAGCUCAAAUGGUGCUGGUAGGGAGUGCAGGGCAGCCCAGUACAGGUGUGGUGACAACAGACCUCAUGUACCUCAAGUAUAUGCUCCAAGAUCUGUGGUGUGAAACCCCUUGUUUAAUGUUAGAUGAAUUAGGGCACCCAACACCUCCCAGGAGGCUAUGUGCACCUUGUAGCUUCAGAUCCAUAGUGUAGCAUGGGUUUAUCAUGUGAACUCAAGGAGCUAAGUCACUUUUAAUUUUUUGUUGUUUAUUUAAAUCUUUUCCUAGAAAGAUAUUUAACUCCAUGGCUGGUCUGUCUAUUUUAUAACCUGGCUAUCUGUACAUAUGAGAUCUGUUGCAUCUGAGAGACCAUGUUUAUUUAAGAUGAUGAAAAAAUGAUAACAUGGGAGAAUUUGAUGUAUUAAUAAGAAGCUUGAAGGAAAACAAAAUAGCUGAAGGAAGCGUGAAUAAAAAUGUACAUUAGUAGCACAUAUUCUCUUUUAUUAAUAAAAUAUUUUAUAUUUCUAGUGAGAGCAUCUGGCUCCUUUGAAGAAUACAAUCAGUACACAGACAGUGAUGGAGAUAAUUUCCACAAAGCAGAGGUGGAAAACCAUGCUCUGACAGAGAGAAGAAAAGACAAGCAGAUUCCUCAUCAAUGCUAGGAAGCUCAAAGAACAUUGACAAUCAGCCAGCGACAGAAGAAACAGUAUUGGAGGGAAAAAUAAUAAAUAAUCUCAACUGCUCGGCUUGUCUGUAUGG